AGGGUUCUGUGGAAGACUUUAGCUGUGCAGUGACAUUUGCAGGCUCAGCUCUGCACGUGGAUUCCAGGGACAGGCAUAAACAAAAGCUAAUGUGAGACAAUGCCCUAUCUGCAGCCCUAUCGCUGCAGUUUAAUUAAGAUGCCUUGGUUGGCCGAGCUGAUCAUCUGCAGAUUCUUCAUCAUAUACUGUGUCAGACUGUAAAAGGUUAUUGGAAUGUAUGCUUCCACUCCAAAAAAAGAAGAAAAAAGAGAUAUGCAUUCGGACUUAUAUCAUUUCCUAUCUCUAAUGAGUUAAGAUACCAAGCUCUAAUAUGAUUUUGGGGAUUCAUUUGCAAACUUUUGCCCCUUUAGCUGCUCACAUGACUCAUACAUCUCUGUUUUGGCCACAACUCCAAUGCUGACUAAGUCUGCCUGAAAGCUAAUUUUCAACUCCAUCCUUUCAUGUGCUUUACGGGAGAUUAAGAUGAAAUUAGUGCAGGAAGGAUACUGCUCAAGAUCAUUUUAAGAUUUUCCAAGGCUCACCAGCUUGUUGACCUGUAAACCACCUUUAGCUGGACAGAUGUACCAGCUAGAACAUGAUCUGUCUCUGCAGGAAGACAUUGGACCUCUGACCUCUUUUGUAGCUAUUCCAGGCAAAUAUAAUAAACAGGGUUCAC
rnacentral:lncRNA from 7 species